GGAGGUUAGCUGUGUUCCAAUUUCCAUGCUCUGUCUUUUGUUGUGAUAUUCCAGUGUCCAAAUGAUUUCAGAAAAAUAGCUAAUUAAAUAUCCACACUGGCUGGUAAUAAACAGAAGAGCUAAAUUCCUGCCUGGAGAGAAAUACCAUGUGUUGCAUGUCUGACUUCACUGCACUAAGGAGCUGAAUCCUGCAGAGAUGGAGGAACUCUUUGUACGCACAUGUAGAUUUCAUAUGUAAAUUAAAGUGAUGAACAUUUUCCAAAGAAGGGGAAGGCAUCAGAAAACAUGAUUCACAAGUGCGGGAUACAUGACUACCUCCAGAGGUGGUCAGGCAGACAACGAUGAGAGAAGCUAUGGAAUUUUCAUGCUUGGAGAUACUUAAACCUGCCAGAAGAUGGCCCUGAGGUACACAGCUGCAUGCAUGAUUGGGACUGGAAGAUCUCCAGAGGUUCUGACCAGCUUCCGCCACUUUGUGAUACUGCAGUGCUAUGGUGACAAGUGUUGGCCUGAAUCUUGGCUGUGGAGAAACUUUCUGAAGAGGUCCACCAACUUAAAAAGAAUUUAUCUUCCUCACCACCUGUACAAACCAGUGUCUCAGCUAUCAGGGGAAAUCAUAGACAUGAUAACGGAGUGACACUGGAGAUAUUUGCUAAUUUUUUUUCAAUGACUGACAAAGGCUGAGACUUUUUAAAUACUGUUAAUUGGUAGGGAUCAACUAAAUCAUCUGAGCAGUUCUGAAAAUAUCAACCAGAAUUCCUGCAUUUUGCCUUUAACACAAAACUGAACUUCCCAUUGCACCUCCUACAUCUUGUGCAGCUACCCUACUGCAGAACUGCAAGAUUCUUAGGAAGUGUUUCUGAUCUAUAACAUGCUCAUAGCUAACCAUCAGGCAAACUAACUUGUGACCAGACACAUAACAUGUCAUUGCAACAGCUCUUUUUGUUUUCCUUAUACACAAAAUCUUUAUCAUCUGUAGGUCUCAGCCUUACUGCACCAGCCUGAUAGCAUGGAUGAGCUCAGAAAUUCUAGUUUCAGAAGGAACAUGCAGUAGUGUGCAUGUAAUGAUAAGAGAACGGGAGAAAUUCACUGUUACUGUCAAGGAGAAUUUCCACCAUUGGCAUUAACCAUGUAAUAUAGUGGCAGUGGAGUGCAAUGAAUGUGGAGAGAAGGGAGAGCAAUCAGCAAGCCUUCAUUCACUGAGAUGGAAGAGCUUGUCAAAGACACAAACAACUAAUCAGUUGCCAGCACUGAUUGAUGUUCCAGCCUGCAUUCAAAUCUAUCAUCGUGACCAAGUAUUGCCUAUCGUUUACUCAGUGGAUGGAUAAACUAGAAGUAAUAUAUGACAUCUAAGCAAAUAGAUCAUUAAUUCUGCUUAAUAUGUUGGGGCUAAAGUUUAAAUCUUUUUCUAAACAGCAAUCUUUCCCUUCAGGGAAGGGAAAAAAAAAAAAAAAAAAAAAAAAGAAAAGCAACAACAAAAACAGCAAUGAUCUACAGUGGUUCGCUAGGCAAAUAGUUUACUAUUAUUAUUAUUGUUUUUGUUAUUAUUAUUGUUUGUUUGUUUGUUUACAAGUUACAAAUUAGCUGCAUUGGAUAUUAUUUUUUUUUUCAGUCUAUAAAGAACAAUUUUCACUGAGUAUUAAAUCUAUCAGGAAAUGUAUUAACUUGUUAAUUAAUGUGGUUAAAGAGGAUAAGAAAUUAUAUGCUAGAAAAAGCAGAGGACUGCUGUUCUCCAUUUUAUUUUAUGCUUACAUUUUCUUCCAUUCUAGAGUGUUUCCAUGCUCAGCCUUCUGUAGCUUUACCCUUGACUUUUUAUUCUGUACUAUUACCCUUGACUUAGGGUUCUUUUUUCUGAUCAUGAGAUGAAAAUUUUAAAUGCAGACAUAGAGUUAAUUGGAUUUUAUUAUUGCUUGACUUCUUCUUAAUUGCAGGGCAUAGCAUGCAAUGAUUAAAAAGUGCCCUGCAGGGUGUUUAAAUUCCACAUUUUGCACCAAUCAGCGUCAAAGGCAGUGGAUUUUGGCACAUGCUUUUGCAAAGUGUUAGUUCAGGUCAUAAUUAUGGGGAAUAUAAUGAUCUUCAUUGAGGUAAAUUUUAACUGGUUUAGGACUGGACAGGAGGAAUUAAGUAGUCUGCAGUCCAAACUGAGUCCUGAUUUCUUAUUUCAGUCAGCCAUCAGUCAGAGAAAGAUGCAGGAGUUAGUAAUUAAGAAGUAUUGUCAGAAUGUUCUACUUCUGCUGUAACAAAACAGAAACCACAGUUUCUGAAUUGGAAACACACAGGGAUAUGAUUCCUAGUUUUUUGCAGUAUAUUAAAAUAUGUUCUGGUUUGUUUCAAACACUGCCGUUAGCCUCUCAUCAGUAAGAUACUGUUAAUAAAUCAUUAAUGGUUUCAUUUAUGAUUUGUAUCUUAUGGGAUCAUAAAUAAUUAAUAACAGUCAAAUACAAUAAGCAUAAAUAUUUAUAGAUUCAAUUUUGCUUAAUAUACUUCAUUUUUAAGAUUUUAAGAGAUCAAGUGUACUAUUAAUGUAUUUGAAUAAAGUACAUGUCUACUAAAUCUAUUAACUAAGUAGUAUGUUUAAUGAUGUUAAGGCUGAGAAAGAAUUUCUUUCUUUCUUUCUUUCUUUCUUUCUUUCUUUCUUUCU